rnacentral:rRNA from 1 species
UCUGGUGGCGAGUGGCGAACGGGUGAGUAAUGCGCCGGAACGUAUCCAGUAGAGGGGGAUAACGCAGCGAAAGCUGUGCUAAUACCGCAUACGCCCUGAGGGGGAAAGCAUGGGAUCUUCGGACCAUGCGUUAUUGGAGCGGCCGACGUCUGAUUAGCUAGUAGGUGAGGUAAAGGCUCACCUAGGCGAUGAUCAGUAGCUGGUCUGAGAGGAUGAUCAGCCACACUGGAACUGAGAGACGGUCCAGACUCCUACGGGAGGCAGCAGUGGGGAAUUUUGGACAAUGGGCGCAAGCCUGAUCCAGCCAUUCCGCGUGAGUGAAGAAGGCCUUCGGGUUGUAAAGCUCUUUCGGCAGGGAAGAAAAGGUUCUGGUUAAUAGCUGGAACUGCUGACGGUACCUGAAGAAGAAGCACCGGCUAACUACGUGCCAGCAGCCGCGGUAAUACGUAGGGUGCGAGCGUUAAUCGGAAUUACUGGGCGUAAAGGGUGCGCAGGCGGCUCUGUAAGUCUGACGUGAAAUCCCCGGGCUUAACCUGGGAACUGCGUUGGAAACUGUAGAGCUAGAGUGUAGCAGAGGGGGGUAGA